AAUACCCCCAUUCGCUUAGAGCUGACCAAGUCCUCCACUUUGCGCCGCCGCGUCCCUCGCCGUCGCCUCGGACUCAGGAGCCCCUGAGAUGUAGAUCCGCCUGCCGGCUGCUUACUACCAGCCCAUCUGUUUGAAAAAAUGUGCUUCCAGUUCCAAGAGGUCGCGCGGACCAGCAGCUCAUGGUGUUGACAGACUCAGCAGCCUUCCUGAACCGCUGCUCCAUCUCGUGAUAUCCUUCCUGCCGAUGCCAGAAGUCGUGCGCACAAACUUGCUCUCCCCAAGGUGGCGCUAUCUGUGGGCCUCUGUGCCGUUCAUCCACCUAGAUUACAAGGACUUUGUGAAUGGUGGUGAUAAUCUAGAGAAGAGAAAAAUCGAUCAGAAUAGGCUGCAGAAGUUUGGGGACCAGUUGCUACUCUUGCGUGAUGGCACUCUGCCCCUGGAUGAGGCUCGGAUCUUCAUCAAAUGUGGUUGUUUGUAUGACAAUUGUUGUACAUGGAUUCGUCAUGCUAUCAGGCACAAAGCUCGUAUGCUUCAUGUUUACGCUCCCCGUGACACCAAAGUAAUGUUUGAUAACAGAGCCAUGGUUCCUUCUCAGCACCUGAAAACAAUGAGACUUGAAACGGUCUAUGUGGAUGACAGAUUCUUUAAGGCGCUGAAUUUUGAAUCCCAUGUGCUUGAACAUCUAGAGCUGGAGUCUUGCACUAUCUAUGUCGCCGGGCAGAAGAUAUCAUCAAGCUCACUCAAGAUUUUAUCCAUAUCCCGAUGCCAUCUCUACAGAGAUCUAGAGAUUUGUGCUGCGAACCUGAACCAUCUGUCUAUCCUUGACCCAACAUUUGAAUCUCCCAGAGGGUCUGUCAUAGUAACUAGGGAUCUGUGUUCUUUAGUUACAGCUUGGAUAAGUCUAAGAUCUGGUGUCCAUGGCGAUCGAGACGAAAUACUGGAUUAUGGAAUACUCGAUGGCCUCUCACACGUCACAACCUUGGAGUUGCAUGCAGCAUUACCAGAGGUAUGUUUUUUGUUCAGGUUCUUCUCUGUUCACAUCCAUCCUGGUCUAGCUGGAUGUUGUCGGUUGCGUUGCUAGAUGUUGCAUUAUUAGGGACGUGGAGUAUGUGAUCACGAGCUCACAGGAGCUCGGAAUCUCGUACGUCAGGUAUUGCAUUGCGAUUUGGAUAAUUCAAUGUAGCGUCAGGUCGAGGGGCCAUGUGGGACAGAUUAAUCCAGAUAUACAACUGUAUACGCACCUGCCUUGCGGGUCCCUGGUUACACGGACGUUUGCACGCCAUGGACGGAACGAGGCAGAGCCGUGGCUCGACAUGUCGCCGGCGUCCUGAUCCGUGGAUCAGAUCCAGCGCUGGCCGGUAACGGCGGUAGUGACCGGAGUUAAUGCGCUAGAGGGGUUGGUCGUUGGCAGCAUCUACCUCCUACCUCCAGACCUCGCUUCCUCCAUUGCCGAGAGCGGCGACCCCGUGGAGAAAUCUGGUGCAACAAGGCGACGACCCGCUGAGGGAAGCAUGGAAUUCUUGAUGCAGCAGGACUUUGCUAGAAGAGGUGAACGGGAACAACCUGAUCAUGGAGAGGCACCGUGAGGACGCCGCCGGUCGUAGAGCUGCCGGCCAGGACGGUGUCGAGUGCUGAUGGCCAGAUUUGUGCCGAGGGCGCUGAUCCAGGGGCAGGCAGUGCAGACAAACCUCAAGCUUCAGAGCACUCCAUCCAGCAAGUUGACCAAAAAACAUCUGGAUGGACGCAAAGGUCUGAAUUGGGGCUGCCGCACUAGGCAGAGGCGGUUCGGAAUCAGAUAUGGGAAGAGCAGGCUGAACGUAUACCGGACAAUGCAUGCAAGAGAUAGUAUGUGGCUGCACGGGGAAACCAAUAGUUGAAAAUACACACACUUGUCGGUGUGAGUGCCCUGCCCUUACAAGAUGCUGCGUUCGAAGGACAAUGGGUGGUACAUAGCGGAGCGUCGUGAUGAGCACAACCAUUUGUUGUCCCCCUCCUAUGGACACACAAUACACUGGCCAUCGCACAAGCAUAUCAACAUGUACAGCAGGGAUCUAAUUAAGCAAUUGUGGCAGAACAGUUAACCUUGCAAAGGUGUACAUCAUAACUGGGAGCUUCUUUGACAGGAUGGAAAAUGUACCAGUUCACGAAAAGAGCAUUGCGUAGUCUGUGUGGCAAAAUUAGUCGUGAGCAAGCAGAAGAUGACGCCAGGAAAGCAAAAGCAAAGGUGUACAGCAUAAUUGCUUCCAGGAGCUAUGCUCAAAGGAUCCACAGUUCACAUGUCGAGUUCAGGCGAACAAAGAAGGAAGGAUCAACACUGUAAUGUGGGCAACUGGCAGCAGCAAAUUGCAGUACAACUUCUUCCGAGAUGUAGUAACAUUUGAUACAACCUACAGGGCCAAUCUAUAUGACAUGCGGUUUGGUCUUUUUGUGGUUGUUAACAACCAUUUUCAGAGCAUUAUACUAGCUGGUGUGCUGGUUCGUGAUGAGAAGGUUGAAACAUUUGAGUGGGUUUUCGCAUAAUUUAUCAGGAUAAUGGGCGGUACUGCUCCACAAACAGGUAUCAUGAUCUGAAUUGCUAUGUGAAUCAUAUUAAAACUUUCUCCUGUAGAUCAUUACAGACCUGACACUGAAAUGAUGUGUUUGAUUUUCAUAUCAAAAUCGAGCAAUGGUAGUAGCAAUAAAAAUUUUGAUGCCAGACACAACUCACAGAUGGUGCAAACGACACGUGCGGAAGAAUGCAAAAGAGUCCUUGGGUCCUUUGUACUAAAGAAGAGUGACUCCCUUCCUGAAUUUCAUAAGGUUAUUAAUCACAUGGUGACCAUAGAUGAAUUUGAAGAAGCCUGGAAGUAUCUUGUGGAGAAGUACAACCUGAAGAACUACACUUACAUGAAGUAAUUGUAUGAGAUCCAACACAAGUGGGCGAAGCCUUAUUUCAAAGUGUAUUCUGUGCUAAAAUGACGAGUACAUAGCGGAGUGAAAGUGCGAACCACAUGUUGAAGAAUUAUGUGCCUCCUGGAUGCCUGAUGCAUAGUUCGUGAGGAAGUACAUGCAUAUAGUUAAGAGAUGGACCCAGGAUUGCCGCACCUAACUCAGUACCAACGGCGGCCGUGCUCAGGAGAACCCGUUUAGUUUCAGGCAUUUCAAUAUGUAUAUGCACGCAAUGGAGCUUGUGCGGAUGGGAGACACCGAGACAGUAGUGUAGAAGCAUAUGAGCACAUGAUAAAACUGUUCAAGCAUUGUGAGGCUGAAAUGAAACCAUACACAGAAAUGAGGGACGGCCUAGGACUGGAGGACAGGUUGGCUGAGAAUGGAGAUGUUCUGAAUCAGGUUCAGUCAGAAGGCGUUGUGUUGGCUGCAAUAGUAGGUGGACAUGUUGAUAUGGAGAACGGUGGCAACAAUUCAACACAUAAAUUGGGAAAUAUGUUUGCAGGUUUUAUUACCUCCAGCUAAGCGCAAGCAGAUAGGGAGGCCUACCACAAGUAUGGAUAAGGCACCAUACGGAGGGUUGAGUAAACGGACCAGAUUCUGCAGCAUUUGUCGGCGACAAGGCCACAAGAGAACAACUUGUCCUGAUCGUGGUGAUGUACCGAAACAACCACGAAAGCUGGCAAGAUGCAAGAAUUGUGGCGUUAAAAGCCGCCGUCGAAACAAUUGUCAUAAGGCGGGUGAGCUGAGACGGACGUAAAUGUGUGAACUAUGUGACCAGGGAAUGUCAUGAACUUGUGGUCUAUUUGUAUAAUUAGAAUUUGUAGCUUGUUUGUUGGACAUGUGCUUAUAAAAUAAUUUGCUUUCCAUCAGACCUUGCUUUGACAGUUUAUAGUGUUUAAUGGAUUCUAUGGCAUAGUUGGUAA